GGUCCUGUAGUGUAAUGGUUAGCACAUGAGACUCUGACUCUCAUAAUCUGGGUUCAAUUCCCAGCAGGACCU